GAUGGACGCUGGCGGCGUGCCUAAUACAUGCAAGUCGAGCGAACAGACGAGGAGCUUGCUCCUCUGACGUUAGCGGCGGACGGGUGGGUAACACGUGGAUAACCUACCUAUAAGACUGGGAUAACUUCGGGAAACCGGAGAUAACACCGGAUAAUAUAUUGAACCGCAUGGUUCAAUAGUGAAAGACGGUUUUGCUGUCACUUAUAGAUGGAUCCGCGCCGCAUUAGCUAGUUGGUAAGGUAACGGCUUACCAAGGCUACGAUGCGUAGCCGACCUGAGAGGGUGAUCGGCCACACUGGAACUGAGACACGGUCCAGACUCCUACGGGAGGCAGCAGUAGGGAAUCUUCCGCAAUGGGCGAAAGCCUGACGGAGCAACGCCGCGUGAGUGAUGAAGGUCUUCGGAUCGUAAAACUCUGUUAUUAGGGAAGAACAAAUGUGUAAGUAACUAUGCACGUCUUGACGGUACCUAAUCAGAAAGCCACGGCUAACUACGUG
rnacentral:rRNA from 1 species